UCAGAUUUGAUUACAUGCAUAAGACUCUCUUUAGAACAAGUAAUGGAAGAGGCUCACACCAGAACAAAAAACACGCUAUGUUAUGGUCUAACAUGGCAUACACGACAACGACAGUCUGAGGGAUCUGGACUGAGAGAAAUAAGAGAGUGCGUGAAAACAGACGCACAAGUCCGCAAGAGAUAAGGAGAAAGAUAAUGCAAGAUAUAUUAAAGACAUUUGCGCCAAACAGCUACAAGGCCAGAUGGACGCGCCAAGAGCAAAAACUAAUGGAAGUAUAGGCUAGAAGGGCCCAGUUGACAACAA
rnacentral:lncRNA from 1 species